rnacentral:lncRNA from 1 species
CUCCAGAGUCUGGACACAGAGUACCAGGAAAGCUGUUUCGUGGGGGAAACUCAGACUGAUCAAAAGAGCCGAGGAAGUCCUUUGUGGCCUGUCUACUCCAUGGAAAUAGCUCUCGGAGAGGGAAGACCAGCUGCCUUCAUCAGGAAUUCACAGGUGGCAUUUCUAUGGGGAAUCAGCACAAGUCCUCAAGCUGGUAAGAAGCAGAUCUCUGAGACUUUCUACUGGGAUAUGGAGUUUUGGGGCAAAAAGGAGAAUGGAGAUCAACACUGAUAUUUAUUUAUUCACUUUUAAAUAUACACUUUCAGGUAGAAGUUGAG